rnacentral:lncRNA from 1 species
UGCACGGGUUCGACGUUCAUCGCAUGAACGUUGUUUCGAGACCUUUCAUAAUUAGGUAAGAAUUAAAACUUUUUAAAACUAUUAGGAAGAUCAGAUCUUCACCUUGCGCGGGUAGAUGAUCACCGCAAAUCUGAAUUCGUGGUUUUGGAAGAGGGUUCGCUUGAAGCCGUUCAAACGUCCGGCCUCUACGGGUAUCCACACGAAGCAGGAACCGAUCCAAGCUUUCUAUCUCACCGGGGUGCUAGCUC